CACGUAGGGCGCGAGCGUUGUCCGGAAUUAUUGGGCGUAAAGAGCUCGUAGGCGGCCUGUUGCGUCCGCUGUGAAAGCCCGGGGCUUAACCCCGGGUCUGCAGUGGAUACGGGCAGGCUAGAGGUAGGUAGGGGAGAAUGGAAUUCCCGGUGUAGCGGUGAAAUGCGCAGAUAUCGGGAGGAACACCGGUGGCGAAGGCGGCCACCUGGACAGACACUGACGCUGAGACGCGAAAGCGUGGGGAGCAAACAGG
rnacentral:rRNA from 1 species